rnacentral:rRNA from 1 species
GCAUAUCAAUAAGCGGAGGAAAAGAAACCAACAGGGAUUGCCCCAGUAACGGCGAGUGAAGCGGCAAAAGCUCAAAUUUGAAAUCCUGCGGGAAUUGUAAUUUGAAGGUUUCGUGGUCUGAGUCGGCCGCGCCCAAGUCCAUUGGAACAUGGCGCCUGGGAGGGUGAGAGCCCCGUAUGGCGCACGCCGACUCUUUGCACCGCGGCUCCGACGAGUCGAGUUGUUUGGGAAUGCAGCUCUAAGUGGGUGGUAAAUUCCAUCUAAAGCUAAAUAUUGGCGAGAGACCGAUAGCGAACAAGUACAGUGAUGGAAAGAUGAAAAGCACUUUGAAAAGAGAGUGAAACAGCACGUGAAAUUGUUGAAAGGGAAGGGCUUGCAAGCAGACACGGUUUUACCGGGCCAGCGUCGAAAAGGGGGGAGGAACAAGAACUCGAGAAUGUGGCGCGCACCUUCGGGCGCGCGUGUUAUAGCUCGUGUUGACGCCUCCAUCCCUUUUCGAGGCCUGCGAUUCUAGGACGCUGGCGUAAUGGUUGCAAGCCGCCCGUCUUGAACCACGGACCA